AACAUUUUUUUGUUUGCUUGAAAUUCGAUUUUAAACACCCUCAUGGCCAAAUGAAGUAAAAGAACCAGCAGAUUAGCAGAAAACUGCGAGCAAAAUCCAGCGGUGCAGCCGCAGGAAAUUACAAAAACUGCUUCCAAUGAGACUCUUUCCAAUUUUCAUUCUGCAUAAUUCUUCCACCAUUGUAAUCACCGUUUCCUUCU
rnacentral:lncRNA from 1 species